AUUGAACGCUGGCGGCAGGCCUAACCCAUGCAAGUCGAGCGAGCGGCGGACGGGUGAGUAAUGUCUGGGAAACUGCCUGUUGGAGGGGGAUAACUACUGGAAACGGUAGCUAAUACCGCAUACCAUCAGAUGUGCCCAGAUGGGAUUAGCUCGUAGGUGGGGUAACGGCUCACCUAGGCGACGAUCCCUAGCUGGUCUGAGAGGAUGACCAGCCACACUGGAACUGAGACACGGUGCAGACUCCGACGGGAGGCAGCAGUGGGGAAUAUGGCAAAAUGGGCGCAAGCCUGAUGCAGCAAUGCCGCGUGUGGGAAGAAGGCCUUCGGGUUGUAAAGCACUUUCAGCGGGGAGGCGUUACCCGCAGAAGAAGCACCGGCUAACUCCGUGCCAGCAGCCGCGGUAAUUC
rnacentral:rRNA from 1 species